GUCCACGCCGUAAACGAUGUCGAUUUGGAGGCUGUGUCCUUGAGACGUGGCUUCCGGAGCUAACGCGUUAAAUCGACCGCCUGGGGAGUACGGCCGCAAGGUUAAAACUCAAAUGAAUUGACGGGGGCCCGCACAAGCGGUGGAGCAUGUGGUUUAAUUCGAUGCAACGCGAAGAACCUUACCUGGCCUUGACAUGUCUGGAAUCCUGCAGAGAUGCGGGAGUGCCUUAGGGAAUCAGAACACAGGUGCUGCAUGGCUGUCGU
rnacentral:rRNA from 1 species